rnacentral:rRNA from 1 species
AUUGAACGCUGGCGGCAGGCUUAACACAUGCAAGUCGAGCGGAGAUGAGGUGCUUGCACCUUAUCUUAGCGGCGGACGGGUGAGUAAUGCUUAGGAAUCUGCCUAUUAGUGGGGGACAACAUUCCGAAAGGAAUGCUAAUACCGCAUACGUCCUACGGGAGAAAGCAGGGGAUCUUCGGACCUUGCGCUAAUAGAUGAGCCUAAGUCGGAUUAGCUAGUUGGUGGGGUAAAGGCCUACCAAGGCGACGAUCUGUAGCGGGUCUGAGAGGAUGAUCCGCCACACUGGGACUGGGAGACGGCCAAGACUCCUACGGGAGGCAGCAGUGGGGAAUAUUGGACAAUGGGGGAACCCUAAUCCAGCCAUGCCGCGUGUGUGAAGAAGGCCUUAUGGUUGUAAAGCACUUUAAGCGAGGAGGAGGCUACUGAGACUAAUACUCUUGGAUAGUGGACGUUACUCGCAGAAUAAGCACCGGCUAACUCUGUGCCAGCCGCCGCCGUAAAAC